UCUCCGUAGGUGAACCUGCGGAGGGAUCAUUACUGAGUGAGGGCUCACGCCCGACCUCCAACCCUUUGUGAACGCAACUAGUUGCUUCGGGGGGCGACCCUGCCGUCCGCGGCUGAGCGCCCCCGGGGUCAAUCAAACACUGCAUUCUCUGCGUCGGAGUAUUAGUAGAUCUAAUCAAAACUUUCAACCACGGAUCUCCUGGUUCUGGCAUCGAUGAAGAACGCAGC
rnacentral:misc_RNA from 1 species